GAUGAACGCUGGCGGCGUGCCUAGUACAUGCAAGUCGAGCGAACAGACGAGGAGCUUGCUCCUCUGACGUUAGCGGCGGACGGGUGAGUAACACGUGGAUAACCUACCUAUAAGACUGGGAUAACUUCGGGAAACCGGAGCUAAUACCGGAUAAUAUAUUGAACCGCAUGGUUCAAUAGUGAAAGACGGUUUUGCUGUCACUUAUAGAUGGAUCCGCGCCGCAUUAGCUAGUUGGUAAGGUAACGGCUUACCAAGGCAACGAUGCGUAGCCGACCUGAGAGGGUGAUCGGCCACACUGGAACUGAGACACGGUCCAGACUCCUACGGGAGGCAGCAGUAGGGAAUCUUCCGCAAUGGGCGAAAGCUUGACGGAGCAACGCCGCGUGAGUGAUGAAGGUCUUCGGAUCGUAAAACUCUGUUAUUAGGGAAGAACAAAUGUGUAAGUAACUAUGCACGUCUUGACGGUACCUAAUCAGAAAGACACGGCUAACUACGUG
rnacentral:rRNA from 1 species